CCGCAACCAACAGCCAACAGAGCUCGCCUCCUCACCUCGCCGGAGCGCCAAGAAACCCCUCCCCCCACCUCUCGCCACCGCGCAGAAGCGCCUCUGAUCCCCAGCGCCGGCGACCGAUGAACAGGUUCCACGACAGGCAGCACGUGUGGGUGCGGAGCAGCGUGCACGGCACGUACCUCAACGCCGACAGCGACGGGAGGAGCGUCUCCCUCCGCCGGCGCCGCGCGUCGCUCAAGGCGGCGUGGGCGGUGCACAUCUACCAGCACGGCGAGGGCGACGUGCCGUACCUUCUCCUCUACAGCGCCGCCUACGGCCGCUACCUCGCCGCCACGGCCACGCGGGCGCCGCUCGGCCACGUCGGCUUCCGCGCCGAGCAGCGCGACUACGACGAGCCGGUGCUGCCGGCCAUCAUGUGGCGGGCCACCCACACGGGCUUCGGGGGCGGCGUCUUCCUCCGCAACGUCGGCGGCCGCUACCUCCGCGCCAACGGCAAGUACCUCCGCUGGAACAACGGCGUCACCGUCGACGACAUGGACAAAGUCAGCACCAUGAUGUACUGGACCGUCGAUCCCAUCCCCCUCAGAGGAUCGGACAUGCCUCAGCCUGGCUUCGCUGCCCCGAUUCCGGUGAGUUCGCCAUGCAUGACCCGAGUCUUCAAUUCUUCAUACCUCUUGAAUUGCUCUCGACGGAUUGAACGAAUUGGGUCAUCGAUCGGGUUAUUUACAACGAGAUUAUCACUUGUGUUAAUUUCAUUCACCGGACAGGCAUUUCUGAUUCUCUUCUUGCCAAAUUUACGAUUCCUGAAUCAAUCGCGUUUUUGUUUUCAGCCAGAAAAUUCAGAGUAUCACCUGAACAUAAAUAACCAUGGUUUCUUGUGGCUCGACUGCAGGGCCGCAUCCCCCGAGAGCUCUCCGUCAUGCUGGGACGCGAGCGAGGGGUGUGGAGGCUGAUCCGGUUCGUGCGAGCGACCGCCGAGGGGGCCUACGCCCAUAACGGCAACGGCUGGUCCGAGUUCCAUUUCAGGGGAAGGUACGUGUACCACCUGAGGAACGAGCUGGUCAAGCGCAUCAACGCCGAGGUGCACUUGUUCGAGCUCGCCAUGUGCAUCCGAGCGGGCCGCUACGGGCGUUUGACCCCGCUCAUCACCAACCUGCCCCACGGCGGCAGCGGCGAGACCCUCCAGAUUGUCGUCUACCUGUCCGAGACCCCUGGUGAGAGCCACUCUCCAUCUCCCAACUUCCUAUUCAUCUCGUGUUUUUGUUAGGUUAUAUGGUGGCAACAAAUGAAUUUGUCUGUGUACUGCCAUGAUAAUUUGGAGUUUGUUUAGUGGGUGCUUAUAAAACAGUUUACUGAAACAGUUUACUCCCCAUGUCCUAAUGAUUUCCUAAUGGUGCCAACAAGUGAAGCAGUUUACUGAAUUUGUUUUAGUCUGCUUGUGUUUCAAAAACAGUUUACUGAAAGUGUUAUGAUCUGAGAAAACGGUUUAUUGAACUUUUAGGAGUUUGAAAUUGUCUGCAGCUAUGGGCUGUGGCUAGUUGGUUAUAAUUAGGGGGGGAAAUCAUUUCGUAAUUAACAUAUUACAUUCAACCUUGAUAUGGAAAGUGUCCUCUAUUUGGCGCCGGUUGCCGCCAGUAAAAACUAUGGAACUGAAAUAGACGGAUCUUUUAAUUAAUCUCUUUCAGCCUUCCAUAGAGAAGAUUGUAAUAUCAGUUUGAUUUGAUUUAGCAUGUUGUAUUCAAUAACCCUUCAACAAAAUUCAGGCUUCUACAAUCUAAAUUAAUUAUGGUUUCUGCACAUGAGUUGUAUUGUUUUCAGGUUUCAUUCAUGAGCUGUAUUAUUGGUCUUGUUAUUCAUUUUUGUUUUGCAAAAUGUAGCAGUGGUCUUGAAUCUGUUCUACAAGUGUACAUAUGUUGGGUUAGAUACUGUUUACUGCAUGAACAUUUUAUUUAGAGUCUUAGUUAAUGAUGUGCUAAUCUGAUCAUGCUGGGAAAAACGAUAUUAUGAUAUGUUUUGUUAGGACUUGGGACUUUUCUAAAACUGUUGUACUGUUGUAGAAAAGUACAAGUAGUUGAAUGGGAACAGUAGGUGCCAAUGCCAUGUGGAUUUAUCUGUCUCUGGUUGAAAAACAGUUUACUGAAAGUAUUAUAAUCUGAGAAAAUAGUUUACUGAACUUUUAGGAGUUUGGAAUUGUCUGUGGCUAUGGUCUGUGGCUAGUUGGUUAUAAUUGGGGGAACGAAUUAUUUCAUAAUUAACUUUUACAUUCAACCUUGAUAUGGGAAGUGUUGGUUUCAAACUACUGUCCUUGAUCUCCUUUAUUUGCAACUGUUCGCCAUUCGCAAAAAAAACUGUUUGCCACCCGUAAAAACCAUGGAACUGAAAUAGAUGGAUCUUUUAAUUAAUCUCUUUCAGCCAUACACAAAGAUUGUCAUAUCCGUUUGAUUUUAUUUAGCCUGUUUACUUGUGUUGAAUAACCUGUGAACCAAAUUCAGGCUCCUACCAUCUAAAUUAAUUCUGGUUUCUGCACAUGAGUUGUAUUAUUGAUCUUUUUAUUCAUUUUUAUUUUGGAAAAUUUAUCGGUGGUUUUGAAUAUGUUCUACACAGUGGACAUGUGUUGGAUAGAUACUGUUUAGUGCAUUAACAUUUUACUUAAGAGUCUUAGUUAGUGAGGUGCAUAUCUGAUCAUGCUUGGAAAAAUGAUAUUAUGAUAAGUUUUGUUAGGCCUUGCGACUUUUCUGAAGCUGUUGUACUGUUGUAGAAAAGUAAAUGCAGUUGGAUAGGAACAGUAAGUGCCAAUGCCAUAUGGAUUUAUCAGUCGGUGUACACACAUUUAUCAGUCAGUGUAAAUAAUGGUCUGAACUCUGAAGCUAGUAAAAACUACUGGCUCCACAUUUCUUUUCUUGAUUCAGAUAAUUCAGUUCAUCCAUUUCGUACCAUGUUGCCGCUAGUAGAAAUUAUGGAGCCUAAAUAACCAACUCAAGUUCUGUCAACUCAUUUCAUCUUCGCAGAAGAUACUAGGUUUCUAACCUGUGAACCAAAUUGAGGUGGUAUCCUAAAAUAGAUAGUGCAUAAAAGCUUAGCGCCCAGCACAUUAUAUUGGUUUAGGUUUUGUCUUCUUGAUCUUUUCAUAAUGUUCUUAUUGAUUAUCGGUCUGCUGCCUAAUUGCCUCAUUAUUUCUGUUAAUUCAGCCUAUGAUGAGCUAGAGCACCCGGAUGUCUACUCGGAGUAGAGAAAGAUCAGAGCAGGAGUCCUGAUAGUUAACCUCCACAGAAGUUUGGCCACCUCGGACACAGCUGAGUGACAGCAGAACUGGACGCCUACUUUUGCAUAUAGAUAUAGGUUGAGAAAACUGUGUUUCCUAUGCUAGCUAAACUUGCUCUGUUCUGCCUGUUUUGGCCUCGCAGUUAUAUGAUUCAGAACUUCUGAAAGUGUUGCGUGCAGUGGUUGUAGUAGUCGUUCGAAUGUCGCUCUUCUACCAUUCGUUCCUAUGGUGCUUCCUGGAUGAAGCAUUUAAAUGUAAGGGUACUUGCAGUGAGUUGAUGAUCUUCCAUUCCUUUUGGAUGAUGCGUGCACUUCGUAUAAAUGAAUAAUGCAGUGGUUCUUGCUAGUAAUGAGUUGAUGAUCUUGUGUUUCUGUAAGGCUAUGCACUUGGUACAAAUGCAAAAUUUAGCUGGUUCUUGCUGUGAGCUGGUGAUCGUGCUUCUAGUUGUGCUGUUUUGAGUGUUGGCCAAGGAGUAAGAAACACAGUUGUAACGUAUGAACAAAAUUCAGAUUUUAUCCAACGGCACUAUGAAGUAGCUUCUGCACAUUACAAUGUUUUCAAGAUUUGAACAUAAGCUGCCUUCUUUUCCUUUCACAGUCUUGUUUGAGAUCAACACUGAUUUGGUGGCUCUUGCCAGUAAUGAGUUGAUGAUCUUCAGUUUAGCUGUGCGGCUUCAAGUUAAGUCCAAGUUAAGUCCAACGAAGAUCAAUAAUACACUGUUGGAAAAUUCACUGUUGUAAUUGCAUUGCUGAGUCAGCAGUGAAAAAAAAUGUUACUAUUGCUGACUCAUAUCGAUCAGAACUAACAACAUUCCGCAUAACAACUACUUCUGAAAGAAAUUGCAGGCAUUUUAGUUCUUGCUCAUUACUUCUGGAAAAAGAAAUGUUGUUAUUGCCGACUCAUUAAGUGUAAAAUUUUGAAAGCUCGAAAGAGUCUCUGAGAUCCCGUUAAUAACACCAUAUGAGAUUGUUAUUUAUGCGCAUUUUUCUGCUCUAGUUUCUGAAAUUUGGACAUGCUGGUGUACUGGUCUCCUGAAGUUUCUUGAAUAUUGCUCUUGUGCCCUGGUGUAUUAUUAGGUGUUUCUGCUCUAGUUUCUGAAAUUNNNNNNNNNNNNNNNNNNNNNNNNNNNNNNNNNNNNNNNNNNNNNNNNNNNNNNNNNNNNNNNNNNNNNNNNNNNNNNNNNNNNNNNNNNNNNNNNNNNNNNNNNNNNNNNNNNNNNNNNNNNNNNNNNNNNCUCUAGUUUCUGAAAUUAAGGACAUGAUGCAGCGAACUCUCCUUGUUAUAUUUCUGUGAAUCUAUUUUCUGAAUUCGUAAUGUGGUUAAUAUGUGGUUAGUUUUAUCCUUGCAACGCACACGCACUGACAUACACAAGCACAAGAUGAUGAUGAUCAAUAUGUGCUUAGUUUUCUUUACAAGAGUUGUUAUGACCGGUACAACGUACCAACGGAGGAGGCCCAAUGGACAGGGUUAAUUACGGGCUUAGCCCAAGUCAUCUUACCUAUCUUAGAGUCCAAGUUAUAUUAGAGUCUAAGUUAUAUUAGAGUCCAAGUUAGAGUCCAAGUUAUCUAGGGUUUAGUGGAGGUUCUCCUCCUAUAUAAACACAUGUACCCCUUCGAUAUUAAGAAGACAAUAAACAGUAUUUUGUUGUCGUCUCCCUCAGGAGACGGGAGCCCCAAACCCUAGCCGCAUCUCUCUCUCUCGCGCGCGCCGCGACGGCGCCCAACCGCCGGCGUCGGCGUCCCCAACCUCGCAGCCCGCACUUCCACCCCUACAACCUACGUCCGAGACCUGGUAAAACCCUAGCCUCUACCAAUUUGGUAUCAGGUAGCUUGGGUUCGAUGAGCUUGUCGGNNNNNNNNNNNNNNNNNNNNNNNNNNNNNNNNNNNNNNNNNNNNNNNNNNNNNNNNNNNNNNNNNNNNNNNNNNNNNNNNNNNNNNNNNNNNNNNNNNNNNNNNNNNNNNNNNNNNNNNNNNNNNNNNNNNNNNNNNNNNNNNNNNNNCCAUCGCCGCCGCCACCACCGCCUUCCCCGCCACCUCGCAGCAGCCGCCGCCGCCGCACCACCCGCCGCCGCAGGCCACCUCAGGUCUGGCCGCUUCCAGUACCGCGGCCCUGGCGGCCGAACCCGCCCCCGUCCUCUCCCUAGCGGAGAUGUCCUCGGCGAUCCGCGACCUCAACCUGGCGGUCUCGAACCUCCGGACUUUCCUCCAGGCUCCGUACGCAACCCCGCCACCACCGCCUCCGCCGACGGCGCCCUUCACGCCACCGCCCCGGCCACUGUCGCGCCCGAGGGCCUGCCGAUCACCCAGGUCCGGUGGCCGCCGUCGCCGUCCCCGCUACCGACGUGGAUCGACAUGCCGACCUNNNNNNNNNNNNNNNNNNNNNNNNNNNNNNNNNNNNNNNNNNNNNNNNNNNNNNNNNNNNNNNNNNNNNNNNNNNNNNNNNNNNNNNNNNNNNNNNNNNNNNNNNNNNNNNNNNNNNNNNNNNNNNNNNNNNNNCGGCGCCGCUACAGCCGACGGUGUUGCAGCCACCCGCCCCCACCUUCGGGGGUUCGGCGGGUACACUGACCCGUACGCCGGGGGCUCCGUGGUGCCGCAGCACUCUCCUUCCGCCGCGCUGGGUCGUCACGAGGGCACCUACGCGGCCUCGCCACAUGUGCAGCAGCCGCCCCGCUUCACCAAGCUGGAGUUCGCCACCUACGACGGCACCGUCGACCCCUUGAACUGGCUCAAUCAGUGCGACCACUUUUUCAGGGGGGCAGCGGACCAUGGCGUCCAACCGCACGUGGAUCGCCUCCUACCACCUCCAUGGCGCCGCCCAGACGUGGUACUACGCCCUCGAGCAGGACGAGGGCGGGAUGCCCCCGUGGGAGCGCUUUCGCGACCUGUGUCUCCUCCGGUUCGGCCCCCCAUACGUGGGAGCCGCUUGGCCGAGUUCGGUCGCCUUCCCUUCACCACCUCGGUGCAGGACUUCGCCGACCGCUUCCAGACGUUGGCCUGCCAUGCGCCUGACGUCACGGCUCGCCAACGCGCAGAGCUCUUCGUCGGCGGCCUUCCCAACCACAUCCGCAUCAACGUCAUCUCGACGCGACCCCCAGGACCUGCAGACGGCCAUGUAUUACGCACACGCGUACGAGCAGCGCGCCAACGCCCUGCAGCAGGCGUUCCCGGGCCGUGGCAGGCGUUCCCCGGUCGCGGCACGCGUCCCCCGACCCGCCCUGCCCCGGUGGCCGCCACCCCGACCCGCCCCGCCCUGCCGGCCGCUACUGCGGCUGCCCCCGCGCCGACACGCACCUUCCGGCGCUUGACGUCGGCCGAGCAGCUCGAGCGGCGCCGCAAGGACCUGUGCUUCAACUACGACGAGCCGUAUGCGCUGGGUCAUACGUGCGCCCGCCUGUUCUACUUGGAGACCGUCGACGACGCGGUGGUGGAGGCCCUCACCGCGGAGCUCAACGCCACCACACUCUCCGAGACCGGCGUCACGACCUAUGGGCCGGUCGACGCGACCGCCUUCGUCGUCUCCCUUCAUGCCAUGGCUGGCAUCAAGACGGCAAAGACGAUGCUGCUUCCGGUGAUGAUCAACGGGGAGCAUCUCACCGCGCUCGUGGACACGGCUUCGACGCACAACUUCUUGUCCGGGGACGCCAUGCACAACUUCUUGUCCGGGGACGCCAUGCACCGCCUCGCACUCCAACCGGCAGGCUCGGAGAAGUUCAGCGUCACCGUCGUCAACGGGGACCGCCUUGCUUGCCAGGGGGUGGCGCGGCAGGUUCCCGUCCUCAUCGGCGACGAGCCGUUCUCCAUCGACUGCAUCGGCAUCAACCUGGGCUGCUACGAUUUCAUCCUUGGCAUCGACUUCCUGUCCACUCUCGGCGCAUCCUUUGGGACCUCGAUGUGUUGUCCCUCAUCUUCUGGCGCGAGGGCGGCCGUCGCGUUCAGUGGACAGGCAUCCGCGGUUUUCAAAAUUGUUCUCGGUUUUAAAUUUGUUCUCAAGAUUCAAAAAAUAUUCGUGUUCCAAAAAAUUGUUUUGGGUUUUAAAAAUUGUUCUCUAUUUCAGAAUUUUGUUCAGAAGAUUCAAAAAAUGUGUAUGCUUUAAAAAAUAGUUCAUGCUUCCAAAUUUGUUCAGAAUUUUUCAAAUAAAAUCUCCGUUUCAAAAUUUGUUCUCAAAAUUCAAAAAAUUUCGUGCUUUAAAAAUUUGUUUGCGCUUCAAAAUUAGUUCAGGAUUUUUCAAAAUUAUUAUAGAUUUCAAAAUUUUGUUCUCAAUAUUGAAAAAAUGUUCGUGCUUUUAAAAAGUGUUCGCGCUUCCAAAUUUGUUAAUGAUAUUUCAAAAAUGUUCUCGGUUUCAAAAAUUGUUCUCAAAAUUUAGAAGAUGAUUGUGCUUUAAAAUUUUGUUCGCACUUUCAAAUUUUUUCGUGUUUUUUUAUAAUCCUUUUAAAAAAAAUCUCAAGAUUCAACAAAUGUUCAUACUUUUAAAAAUUGUUCGUGCUUCCAAAUUUGUUCACGAUUUUUCAAAAUUGUUCUGACUUUAAUUAUUUUUACUCAAAAUUCAAAAAAUGUUUGUGAUUUAAAAAUUUGUUCGGGGUUUUUCAAAAUUGUUCUCUAUUUAAAAUUUUAUUCUCGAGAUUCGAAAUUUGUUUGUGCUUUAAAAAAUUGUUCAUGCUUCCAUAUUUGUUCAUGAUUUUUCACAAUAGUUCGCCAUUUUAAAAUUUUAUUCUCAAGAUUCAAAAAAUGUUUGUGCUUUAAAAAAUUGUUCAUGCUUUAUAUGUAUAAAAUUGUUCACGAUAUUUCGAAAUAGUUCUUCAAAUUCAAAAAAUGUUUUUUCUUCUAAUACAAAAAGAAAAGGAAAAAGGGAAGAAAAACCAACCAAAAAAAGAAAAUAAACAGAAAAGGAAAAAAGUAACAAGAAUAAAAAGAAACAAAACUGUGCCGGCCCAGUUGGGGCGCCCGCCCUGUGCGGCGCAGGAGUCCCUGCCGCAAUGAUCGGUAGGUUUGGGAGCAACUAGUUAGCGAGCGCUUCCUCGAAAACCUUCCGGCAAUCGCUCCCGCGCGCCGUCACUUGGAGCGUUCCCAGCCGCCACGACGUGUCGCCCUAUGAGCGUUUUCUUCGGAUUAUUGUUAUUUUUUCGCACGCGUUUUCGCCUUUUUUGAGUGGUUUGUUUUCGGAUUUUUUAUGUUUCGUUUUUUCACCGGUUUUUGGUAACUUUUGGGCGGAAAAAAUUCAUUUUUUUUCGAAAAAUACGUUUUAUGCGAAAGAUAGGUUUUCUGCUUUUUUGCGAGAGGCACGCUUCCGCUUCCAUGAGAGGCACGGUUUUACCUUCGCGAGAGGCACGGUCGUGCCUCUCGAAAAGGGAAAAACGCAUUUUUUUUCUUUUUUUUUGCGAGAGACACGGUUUUGCUUCCGUGAAAGGCACGAUUUUACCUUCGCGAGAGGCACGGUCGUGCCUCUCGAAAAGGGAAAAACACAUUUUUUUUUGCGAGAGGCACUGUUUUGCUUCCACGAAAGGCACGGUUUUGCCUUCACGAGAGGCACGUCCGUGCCUUUCGGGAAGGGAAACAAAACGUGUUUUCUGAUUUUUUGUGAGAGGUACGGUUUUGCUUUCGUGAAAGACACGAUUUUACCUUCGCGAGAGACACGCCCGUGCCUUUCAGAAAGGGAAAAAACGUGUUUUUUUUUGCGAGAGGAACGAUUUUGCUUUCACGAAAGGUACGAUUUUGCCUUCGCGAGAGGCACGCCCGUGCCUUUCAGAAAAGAAAAAAAACGCGUUUUUCGUUAUUUUUUCGCGAGAGGCAUGGGUUUGCUUCCGCAAAAGGUACGGUUUUGUCUUCGCGAGAGGCACGUCCGUGCCUGCCCCCGAAAGGGGAAAAACGCGUUUUGUGCUUUCUUUCUUUUUUUAGUGAAAGACACGGUUUUUCCGUCUGGUAUUUUUUCUUUUUUUUCGUGAAAAAAAGAGUUCGUCAAAAUCUAUCAAUAUGAGAUCCAGUUUUGAAGAUCUCGACGCGAGAAAGUCAACGGUGAAAACGGUUCGAGAUUUAGACGCACGGUUUAGGAGAUAAAAUGUUUAAAAAAUACGGUUCUAUAAAAAAAACUUUCAAAUUGCGUCAAAUGACAAUUUAUGAAGGUAAGAGUAAUUGUUAAAAGCUGUACUCGCUAAUUAGUGAUUCCGUAAAGGUCUAGUCGACCACGGCCGCAUCGCGUGGGCCGGUGCGGGAGGAACAGAGAAAGUGGGCCGGGCGGAGAAGACGGCCCCCAACCGCACCUUGUGCCGAAAGCCCGAGGGUAAUCGCCUGACCGAACGGCGCGCCCGCGUGCUUCUCCUCUGCCUCUCCAGCGCGCGAUCCAGCGCGCGAUCCAGCGCCGGCGACGACCGAUGGACCAGUUCCACGACAGGCAUCACGUGCGGCUGCGGAGCCGCUUGCUCCGCGCGUACCUCCACGCAGACGACGACGGGGAGCGCAUCUCCCUCAGCCGACGCCCGGCGCCGUGACUCGCUGAACACGGCGUGGGCGGUGCACAUCCACCAGCGCUGCGAUGGCCCGUGCCUGCUCCUCCACAGCGCCGCCUACGGCCGCUACCUCGCCACCACGUUCAAGCCGGCGCCGCUCGGCCACCACGGCUUCCGCACUGAUCAGCGCGACUACGACGACGAGCCGGACCUGAUGGCAGGUACAUGUGGAAUGUCGCCUGGGCGGACUUCGCGGACGUUGUCUUGCUCCGCAACGUCUCCGGCCGCCACCUCCGCGCCAACGGCA
rnacentral:lncRNA from 1 species